CCACGUGUCAAAACUUUGAGCAGAAGACAAUGCUCGGUUAGUGGUUACCGUCAACACAGCUGUGAGAAGGGCCACUCACUGAGCUUAAAGACCAAACCGCAACGGUACACCUGCGUGUCUUCUGUGCUCCUCCUGCGAAUUUCACCGGCCCAGAUCCUCCAAGAUGGCGUCAGCGUGGUCGGUGGGAAUUCUCUUUAUUCUGCAGUUCAUCCUUGGCAACGCGCUGGCUCCCCCCGAGGACUGCUCCAGCCUGCCUCUCCUCCAAGUUAGCUUUGGGGAUACGACCCUGAAUGGCUGCGGGACGGAGGGACAGCAGCCCUUGUACAGGAGUCUGAAAAGCAUCGGAUACGAGAACGUCGAAGCGGUAAGGCUUUUA